GCUAACUGCUCUGAAUUAUGAAGAUUGUGGAAAUAUUAUUAGAAUUUACAUGUGAAAAUAUGACAGCCUGCAUCACCAUCCACUCCUGGCACUCAAGGCAUAGUUCCCUUGCUUCCUCUGAUACAUGUAUUCAGGUGAGAGACAAGAGAAGAAUGAGUCAGCAGCUCCUGUGUUCAUCUCCAAGACUUGAAGAUAUAUAUCAUCUGUAAGGAAGCUUAUCCAAUUCCCACAUCAGUAUAUGGCAGCUAC